GACGAACGCUGGCGGCGUGCUUAACACAUGCAAGUCGAACGGAAAGGCCCUGCUUUUGUGGGGUGCUCGAGUGGCGAACGGGUGAGUAACACGUGAGUAACCUGCCCUUGACUUUGGGAUAACUUCAGGAAACUGGGGCUAAUACCGGAUAGGAGCUCCUGCUGCAUGGUGGGGGUUGGAAAGUUUCGGCGGUGGGGGAUGGACUCGCGGCUUACCAGCUUGUUGGUGGGGUAGUGGCUUACCAAGCCUUUGACGGGUAGCCGGCCUGAGAGGUUGACCGGCCACAUUGGGACUGCGAUACGGACCAGACUCCUACGGGAGGCAGCGGUGGGGAAUCUUGCACAAUGGGCGGAAGCCUGAUGCAGCAACGCCGCGUGCGGGAUGACGGCCUUCGGGUUGUAAACCGCUUUCGCCUGUGACGAAGCGUGAGUGACGGUAAUGGGUAAAGAAGCACCGGCUAACUACGUG
rnacentral:rRNA from 1 species